UGGGGAAUAUUGGACAAUGGGCGAAAGCCUGAUCCAGCCAUGCCGCGUGUGUGAAGAAGGUCUUCGGAUUGUAAAGCACUUUAAGUUGGGAGGAAGGGCAGUAAGCGAAUACCUUGCUGUUUUGACGUUACCGACAGAAUAAGCACCGGCUAACUCUGUGCCAGCAGCCGCGGUAAUACAGAGGGUGCAAGCGUUAAUCGGAAUUACUGGGCGUAAAGCGCGCGUAGGUGGUUCGUUAAGUUGAAUGUGAAAGCCCCGGGCUCAACCUGGGAACUGCAUCCAAAACUGGCGAGCUAGAGUAGGGCAGAGGGUGGUGGAAUUUCCUGUGUAGCGGUGAAAUGCGUAGAGAUAGGAAGGAACCCCAGUGGCGAAGGCGACCACCUGGGCUCAUACUGACACUGAGGUGCGAAAGCGUGGGGAGCAAACAGG
rnacentral:rRNA from 1 species